rnacentral:lncRNA from 1 species
GGUGGGAGGUCUGGAUGCUCUGGCGUGGCUGUGCCUGCACGCCUUGGUGCAAUCCAGCUCCCUGCAGCUCCGUUUCCUUUCCAAGAGCUGUACCACAACUAACUAAUAAUAACAGUGCUGUUGCUGGGGGAAAAAAACAUCCUUGUGCGGCAAACUCCUUGCUCCCUGCUGAGAGAUGCUGUGGCUGCCACCCAGGACUGAAGCUGAGAUGUGCUGUGCAGGCAGCUCAGAUGGUAUCGGAGCUGUCACUGAAACCUGCAUUUUGAGGCCUUCAGCAUCACAGUGGCAUCUGGUCCUUCAGCCCGGAUGCAGAAAGAAUCAUGGAGCAACUUCUUCAUGUUGAGGGGACAAAGAUUUUAGAUUGAGUUCUGUUGUAAUAAGCUUGGCAACGCCUCGACAAGUUUGCAGGGCAUACCUAUAAGGUAUGUAACUACUUGGAAAGCUGAGUUUGGUCUGAGGGUGGGAAUUUGUAUAACGUUUCAGAGGUUUAGCUACUAGCUGGGGACCAACCUUUAAAAAGGGGGGUUGCCUCUGUGUGGCCCAUUACAUAUUUUGCUUAGACACAGCACCCUUGGUCUUGCUUGACAUUUCAUUCAAGCUUCUGUCCUAAUCUGGGACCAUCACUAAAGCCCCACUGCACUGUGCAUUUUGGAUGUGGACCCAACGAAUGGCUCAGACCUUUCUUCAGUGAGGAAGAACAUCCCUGGAGGACCAGCGAUGGACACUGCUGUCGUGCUCUUGCAUUCAAAGUGUUCUGUGUGAAGCUCAGUGUUUUCCAUGGCAAGAAAGACUUUAAUGCUUAAAGAAGCAUAAACUGGUACAGAAAGGCACUUAACACUACUUUGGGCAUGUCUCCAGUGUUUUGUGACAGCUCCUGAGUGCUGUGCAGUAAGCAUGGGAAUACUGCAAAGCUCACAGCAGGGAGGUGGUUAGCUGGGUUCCUCCAAGUCUUCAGGUGUGCAGAAACAUUACUCAUCCUGGAGCUCUCUGGUGGUAGAAAUAUUGAAUCCUGUUAGGAGUGUGAGUAAUAGUUUUGCAUGAAAUUAAAUCUACUUCUCAAAUCAGUCAGGUUCACUUUUUUUCUUUUUAGAAUGCAGUAGCUCCUGCAGACACAAAGCUAAAUGAAUGAGAAAAUUCUUUACAAAAACAGUAAGAUGGAGCCUACUCCUCCUGGGGUCUGCUAUGGACUUCAUGGGAGAUUGAAGAAAAAGGAUUUGUUCUUCUUUGAAGAAGUUCCUUAUGUGCAAAAAUAUGUGCUGCCUAUUUAAAUGCUGUGUGAACA